ensembl:snoRNA
AGCCUCAUUCUAGAUUAGAAUGGGCUCUGUUGAUUGGUGUCCAAAAUUGGUCAAUGUGGCUAAAAUUGAGGCACAGGUAGGUCACGCUUCCAUCACAGUAAACGUAUUACAGUGGUGACAGUGAGAACUGUAACAUUU